AAAGAUUAAGCCAUGCAUGUCUAUGCACACGCCCUUGAUUGGUGAAGCCGCGAAAAGCUCAUUACAACAGCCAUAGUUUAUUGGAUCUUUACGUUCCUACAAGGAUAUCUGCGGUAAUUCUGGAGCUAAUACUUGCGAAAAACGGCGACCUUACGGAAGUCGUGCAUUUGUUAGACUAAACCAAUCGGUCCUUCGGGACCGUCAUUUGGUGAACUCUGAAUAACUCAGCUGAUCGCACAGUCUCGUACUGGCGACAAAUCCUUCAAGUGUCUGCCUUAUCAACUGUCGAUGGUAGUUUACACGACUACCAUGGUUGUAACGGGUAACGGAGAAUAAGGGUUCGACUCCGGAGAGGGAGCCUGAGAAACGGCUACCACAUCCAAGGAAGGCAGCAGGCGCGCAAAUUACCCACUCUCAGAACGAGGAGGUAGUGACGAAAAAUAACGAGGUGGCCCUCUUUGAGGUCCAUCAUCGGAAUGGGUACAAUUUAAAUCCUUUAACGAGGAUCUAUUGGAGGGCAAGUCUGGUGCCAGCAGCCGCGGUAAUUCCAGCUCCAAUAGCGUAUACUAAAGUUGUUGCGGUUAAAAAGCUCGUAGUUGGAUCUGCGCCAGGUGGAAGCGGUCGCCCGAUGGGUUGUUACUGCUUACCUCUGGCUAACCAUUCGGUUUUCCCUUGAUGCUCUUAAGUGAGUGUCCUGGGUGACCGGAACGUUUACUUUGAAAAAAUUAGAGUGCUCAAAGCAGGCAUUUCGCCCGAAUAUUCGUGCAUGGAAUAAUAAAAGAGGUCCUUGUAGCCUUUUAUUGGUUAUCGCUACGAGGAAAUGAUCGAAGGGGACAGACGGGGGCAUUUGUAUUGCGACGUUAGAGGUGAAAUUCUUGGAUCGUCGCAAGACAAACUACUGCGAAAGCAUUUGCCAAGAAUGUUUUCAUCAAUCAAGAACGAAAGUCUGAGGUUCGACAGCGAUCAGAUACCGCUUUAGUUCAGACCGUAAACGAUGCCAUCUGGCGAUCCGCCGGCGUUAUGUUUGACCCGGCGGGCAGCCACCGGCAAACCUUUAAGUUGGGUUCCGGGGGAAGUAUGGUUGCAAAGCUGAAACUUAAAGGAAUUGACGGAAGGGCACCACCAGGAGUGGAGCCUGCGGCUUAAUUUGACU
rnacentral:rRNA from 1 species